rnacentral:tRNA from 3 species
UUGGGGUAUAGCCAAGCGGUAAGGCAAGGGACUUUGACUCCCUCAUACGUUGGUUCGAAUCCAGCUACCCCAGU